rnacentral:sRNA from 1 species
UCAAAUACAGGUAAACCGGUUUGUGC